UCAGGAUGAACGCUAGCGGCAGGCUUAACACAUGCAAGUCGAGGGGUAUUGGUUUUCGGACCAAGAGACCGGCGCACGGGUGCGUAACGCGUAUGCAAUCUACCUUUUGCAGAGGGAUAGCCCAGAGAAAUUUGGAUUAAUACCUCAUAGUAUAGCAGUUUCGCAUGAGACCACUAUUAAAGUCACAACGGCAAAAGAUGAGCAUGCGUCCCAUUAGCUAGUUGGUAAGGUAACGGCUUACCAAGGCUACGAUGGGUAGGGGUCCUGAGAGGGAGAUCCCCCACACUGGUACUGAGACACGGACCAGACUCCUACGGGAGGCAGCAGUGAGGAAUAUUGGACAAUGGGCGCAAGCCUGAUCCAGCCAUGCCGCGUGCAGGAUGACGGUCCUAUGGAUUGUAAACUGCUUUUGUACAGGAAGAAACACUCCCUCGUGAGGGAGCUUGACGGUACUGUAAGAAUAAGGAUCGGCUAACUCCGUGCCAGCAGCCGCGGUAAUACGGAGGAUCCAAGCGUUAUCCGGAAUCAUUGGGUUUAAAGGGUCCGUAGGCGGUUUAGUAAGUCAGUGGUGAAAGCCCAUCGCUCAACGGUGGAACGGCCAUUGAUACUGCUAGACUUGAAUUAUUAGGAAGUAACUAGAAUAUGUAGUGUAGCGGUGAAAUGCUUAGAGAUUACAUGGAAUACCAAUUGCGAAGGCAGGUUACUACUAAUGGAUUGACGCUGAUGGACGAAAGCGUGGGUAGCGAACAGGAUUAGAUACCCUGGUAGUCCACGCCGUAAACGAUGGAUACUAGCUGUUGGGGGCAACUUCAGUGGCUAAGCGAAAG
rnacentral:rRNA from 1 species